AAAAAUUAAAAAAAGAAAGGGGUAAAGCCAUAGAAAGAAGCAAAAGAAAAAAUAAAACAAUGAAACAGUGCUAAAAGAAGAAAAGAAGGCAGAAAAAAGAAAGAAAGAAAGAAAACCAUAAAAAAAAAGAACAAACUGUCAAAACUGAGAAAGGAACGAAGAAGGAGAAAAACAAAAAAAGUGAAGUGAUAACGAAGAAAACCAAUGAAAAAACAAAAAGAACCAAAGAAAAAAAAGAAAAA
rnacentral:lncRNA from 1 species